rnacentral:rRNA from 1 species
CUGAGAAACCCAAAAGAUCGAAUGGGGAGAUUCAUCGUCAGCUCAUUUUGUAUAUAUAUAAGUUAUGAUAUGGGUUACUACUUGUAGUAUUGCCUAUACAUUCUUGUAUAUUUGAUUGCAAUAUGUUGUCGGCGUGCACUUCUCCCCUAGUAGGACGUCGCGACCCGUUGAGUGUCGGUCUACGGCCCAAGUGGUAGCCUUUAAUUUUUACGAAUUAAAGACCCUUGGUGUUUCCUGGCUGGCUACUCGGCGGUAUUCGUACGGUAUUAAGCCGCAUUUAUGCGUUCAUAUCCGUCGCAAGCGCGGUCAAUUUUUGGUAGUACGGACCUAGUGCCGUCGCCAUAAUUGAUCAGCUGUUGGUUGUACGGUAUUCUAGAACUGGCUUUUAUACCGGUCAGCGAUGA